GUGGGAGUCUGUGAUUGGUUGGCUCACGUCGCAGCAUACGGAGUAGGAGUCUCAAAUCAUAGAAAUGAUAUAUGUAGCUCCUACUCAAGAAUACCUUUUUCUCUCCUACGUAAAUCAGCAUGUGGUUGGAUGGUUAGAGAGACAGUGGUAUCCUCAACCCAUCAGGGUUCAAGUCCUGAUGCUUGCAUUAUUUUUGGAUUUAUUUUAGGAUUUUCAGCGAUACGCUUUCAGUGGGAGGAGUCUUUUCCGUCGAUGACGAGGCGCCUAAGGUGACUUCGUAAAUCUCAAGAUGACAUGACGGCUCAGUCUCUUGGAGGUGGUCAUAGG
rnacentral:lncRNA from 1 species